rnacentral:rRNA from 1 species
CAGCCGCCGCGGUAAUACCGGCGGCCCGAGUGGCGGUCACUAUUAUUGGGCUUAAAGCGUCCGUAGCCGGGGUGGGAAGUCCUCCGGGAAAUCUGGCCGCUUAACGGUCAGAAUGCCGGAGGAUACUCCCAGCCUAGGGAGCGGGAGAGGCCGAGGGUAUUCCCGGAGGAGGGGUGAAAUCCUAUAAUCCCGGGAGGACCACCGGUGGCGAAGGCGCUCGGCUGGAACGCGUCCGACGGUGAGGGACGAAGGCCAGGGGAGCAAACCGGAUUAGAUACCCGGGUAGUCCUGGCUGUAAACGAUGCGGACUUUGUGUCGGACAAGCUAUGAGCUUGUCCGGUGCCGGAGGGAAACCGUUAAGUCCGCCGCCUGGGGAGUACGGCCGCAAGGCUGAAACUUAAAGGAAUUGGCGGG